rnacentral:rRNA from 1 species
UACAGAGUUCCCAAGCGUUGUUCGGAUUCACUGGGCGUAAAGGGUGCGUAGGUGGCAGGGUAAGUUUGAUGUGAAAUCUCCGAGCUUAACUCGGAAACUGCAUUGAAUACUAUCCUGCUCGAGGGUUGGAAGGGGGACUGGAAUUCUCGGUGUAGCAGUGAAAUGCGUAGAUAUCGAGAGGAACACCAGUGGCGAAGGCGAGUCCCUGGACAACACCUGACACUGAGGCACGAAAGCUAGGGGAGCAAACAGG